GUCGGAUUAGCUAGUUGGUGAGGUAAAGGCUCACCAAGGCGACGAUCCGUAGCUGGUCUGAGAGGAUGAUCAGCCACACUGGGACUGAGACACGGCCCAGACUCCUACGGGAGGCAGCAGUGGGGAAUAUUGGACAAUGGGCGAAAGCCUGAUCCAGCAAUGCCGCGUGAGUGAUGAAGGCCUUAGGGUUGUAAAGCUCUUUUACCCGGGAUGAUAAUGACAGUACCGGGAGAAUAAGCCCCGGCUAACUUCCGUGCCAGCAGCCGCGGUAAUACGGAGGGGGCUAGCGUUGUUCGGAAUUACUGGGCGUAAAGCGCACGUAGGCGGCUUUGCAAGUC
rnacentral:rRNA from 1 species